rnacentral:tRNA from 1 species
GUGGGUAUAGCUCAGUGGUAGAACGCAUGCUUAGCAUGCACGAGGUCCUGGGUUCAGUCCCUAGUACUGCCA